rnacentral:rRNA from 1 species
CCUACGGGGGGCAGCAGUGGGGAAUAUUGCACAAUGGGGGAAACCCUGAUGCAGCGACGCCGCGUGAGUGAAGAAGUAAUUCGUUACGUAAAGCUCUAUCAGCAGGGAAGAAACACUUACCUUACGGUCAGCAGACGGUACCUGAGUAAGAAGCCCCGGCUAACUACGUGCCAGCAGCCGCGGGAAGACGUAGGGGGCAAGCGUUAUCCGGAUUUACUGGGUGUAAAGGGAGCGUAGUCGGUGCGCCAAGUCUGAAGUGAAAUGCCGCGGCUUAACUGCGGAACUGCUUUGGAAACUGGCGAACUAGAGUGCGGGAGGGGUAAGCGGAAUUCCUAGUGUAGCGGUGAAAUGCGUAGAUAUUAGGAGGAACACCGGUGGCGAAGGCGGCUUACUGGACCGUAACUGACGUUGAGGCUCGAAAGCGUGGGGAGCAAACAGGAUUAGAUACCCGGGUAGUC